UUUGCGUUAAGGAUUGCAGCGGCAUCCUUUUUACUUUUUUGUAAAAAGAUAUAGCGGAAAGCCUGACUUUUU
rnacentral:sRNA from 1 species